AGAUAUAGGAUGUAUAGAGUAAUUUAAUUAAUAUCGAUAUGUACGCAACAUUGAACCAUUUCCAAUGAAAAACGAUUGAGAGCAUAGCAUUAUAUUAGCCGAUAUUUUGAAGUUUUGUUUUCUCAUUGAUUAUGAAAAUUACAAAGGCGAUCCGUGCAUAACCUUCUUUUGACUGCGGUGUGCUAGACGUGCAUAUGGCUUAAACAAACAACCUAACAUAACUUUUAGAGAUCCACCAUUCACGGGCAGCCGAUGUUCAGUAUUUCCAAUAAAUAUGUAUAAUAACGCAAUUAAAUAGGUUAUUGGUUUGUCGAUCGAAAAUUCAGAUGAUGAUAAAAUAUAUUGUGUUCUAUAAAACUGUGUGCUUCCAAUAUAAGUAUAAAAUGACUGUUGUUCAGCUUUAUGUACACCAUAUACACAAGUAUAUGCGGUUUGUUAACAUAUAAACUUGUUUAUUUAGAAAAAAAAAAAAAAAAAAAAAAAAAGAAAGGUAAUGCGAAAACUUAUUUGAUUUUAACCGCAUUGCGUAUUUGAUGCUGUAUAUUUGAGCACUGUAUGUAUGCAUUUAUUUUGCAGUCACGCGUUUUCUUAUAUAACAUAGAUCGUUUAACAAUAACAUAGGUAGGCAGUUGCAUUUCGUCGAGCC